AUACGGAGGGAGCAAGCGUUAUCCGGAAUCAUUGGGGUUAAAGGGUCCGCAGGCGGAUUAAUAAGUCAGGGGUGAAAUCCUCUCGCUCAACGAGAGAACUGCCAUUGAAACUGUUAGUCUUGAAUUCGGUCGAAGUAGGCGGAAUGUGUCAUGUAGCGGUGAAAUGCAUAGAUAUGACACAGAACACCGAUAGCGAAGGCAGCUUACUAGACCUGGAUUGACGCUCAUGGACGAAAGCGUGGGGAGCGAACAGGAUUAGAAACCCUAGUAGUCC
rnacentral:rRNA from 1 species